CAGGAGGCUGAGGAGAGCGGAGAGAGCAGUCUGCGAUUUCUUAGGAUGUAUUCUUCUGAUCAAUCCCAUGGCAGCUUCCAUCACUUUCUGUUCCUUUCCUUUCUUUCACUUUCCUUCCACAGGAAGAAACAAUCAGAAAAGGAAACAAAAACAAAAGGAAAGGAAAAUUUCAAUUCCCUUGCUUUCUAUUCUCUUCCGAAACCAGCGUAAACAGGCGCGUUUUUUUAUCCGAGUUUCCCUGGCGG
rnacentral:misc_RNA from 1 species